rnacentral:rRNA from 1 species
UAAUACGUAGGGGGCAAGCGUUGUCCGGAAUUAUUGGGCGUAAAGCGCGCGCAGGCGGUCAUGUAAGUCUGGUGUUUAAUCCCGGGGCUCAACCCCGGAUCGCACUGGAAACUGUGUGACUUGAGUGCAGAAGAGGAGAGUGGAAUUCCACGUGUAGCGGUGAAAUGCGUAGAGAUGUGGAGGAACACCAGUGGCGAAGGCGACUCUCUGGGCUGUAACUGACGCUGAGGCGCGAAAGCGUGGGGAGCAAACAGGAUUAGAUACCCUGGUAGUCCACGCCGUAAACGAUGAGUGCUAGGUGUUAGGGGUUUCGAUACCCUUGGUGCCGAAGUUAACACAUUAAGCACUCCGCCUGGGGAGUACGGUCGCAAGACUGAAACUCAAAGGAAUUGACGG